GGCAUGGCCGGGGCGCUGCCGGCCGCGAUCCAUCCCCACCCUUGUCUCUGCGGGCUUCCACCCCCUCCCUCGCCGCCCUUCUCGCUUCCGCCCGAGAUAAUGAGUCGGCGGCGGCCGCGGGCAUCGCAGUGGCGCAGAACAUCCAGUCAUGGAUAAAAAUGAGCUGGUUCAGAAGGCCAAACUGGCCGAGCAGGCUGAGCGAUAUGAUGACAUGGCAGCCUGCAUGAAGUCUGUAACUGAGCAAGGAGCUGAAUUAUCCAAUGAGGAGAGGAAUCUUCUCUCAGUUGCUUAUAAAAAUGUUGUAGGAGCCCGUAGGUCAUCUUGGAGGGUCGUCUCAAGUAUUGAACAAAAGACGGAAGGUGCUGAGAAAAAACAGCAGAUGGCUCGAGAAUACAGAGAGAAAAUUGAGACGGAGCUAAGAGAUAUCUGCAAUGAUGUACUGUCUCUUUUGGAAAAGUUCUUGAUCCCCAAUGCUUCACAAGCAGAGAGCAAAGUCUUCUAUUUGAAAAUGAAAGGAGAUUACUACCGUUACUUGGCUGAGGUUGCCGCUGGUGAUGACAAGAAAGGGAUUGUGGAUCAGUCACAACAAGCAUACCAAGAAGCUUUUGAAAUCAGCAAAAAGGAAAUGCAACCAACACAUCCUAUCAGACUGGGUCUGGCCCUUAACUUCUCUGUGUUCUAUUAUGAGAUUCUGAACUCCCCAGAGAAAGCUUGCUCUCUUGCAAAGACAGUAUGUAUUUUACCUGUUACGUAGAAAUUUAGCAGUCUUUAUUAUUUGAGCACUGAAAUGUAAUGUACUAUUUUUAAAUCAUAGGCUUUUGAUGAAGCCAUUGCUGAACUUGAUACAUUAAGUGAAGAGUCAUACAAAGACAGCACGCUA
rnacentral:sRNA from 1 species